AUGAUCUCAGAUCCUUUAAAUCUGUUAAAAUUCAUGUUUACAUGUUUAUUUUAUUCCGUGUUUACUUGAAAAUGAUAUGUAUUUUGCUGAUUUUCGGUGAAAUUUUCUAAAACUGACAAUUAGAUCCAGUUAUUUGAUGGGGUACUUCACUUAUUCUAUAUUCUUGCUUAUUUUCUGUGUCUAGUGUCCUGACUGUAGAGAAGGAGUACUAGAGACUGUGAUUAUAAUUGUGGAUUUGUCUAUAUUUUCUUUCAGAUAUACGUAACAGUAGAGUGUGUUUUGACCUAUCACACACACAUGGAGUCAGAAUACUGCAAGUUGGGUAAUUUACAAAGGAAAGGAAUCUAUUGGCUUAUGAUUCUGGAGGCUGGGAAGUCCAAGGUCAUGAAGCUCAUAUCUGGCAGGGCCUUCUUGUUGUCAUCUCAUGGGAGAAGGCAAGAUGUCAGUACCUCCUUUGUAAACUCCCUCUGCCUGAAGACUUGAGACCAUUGUCUUGCUGCCACCCCAGUCACUUGGAAUAAGAUGCCUCUCGUGUGACCAAAACCAACGAACUGCUAGAAUGAGUCCUAGCACCUUUGAGAACAAGGGUGACCUAUUUCUCUCACCCGCAGGAGUUCAACUUUUAAAAAGAGGAAAGAGUCACUAGACAGUUAUAUUCAUACCGCCACAAGAGAACGCCAACAUGGCCACCUUAAAUAAACCCCUGGAGUCAGGACAUCUCUGUGUGAUUUAUAUAAAAAUUGACAUGAGGAGUCACCUCCAAGCUUGCUCACCCUGUAAACUGCUUGCCCUGAGGCUUCUAGACUCCUUGCCUCCAUCUACAGCAACCCAGCCUCAACUGGGAUGUCUUAACCAGGGUCUCCUGCGGUGUAUCACAUAUGGAUUCUCAGCCUUUAUGCAUCCAGAAUAUUCUUUUGCCCCCUGAAGCUCCAGAGUCCAUGCAUCUGAAGUCAAUAAAUAUUGUAAGACUCCA